rnacentral:rRNA from 2 species
UUCGGAUCGUAAAACUCUGUUGUUAGGGAAGAACAAGUACGAGAGUAACUGCUCGUACCUUGACGGUACCUAACCAGAAAGCCACGGCUAACUACGUGCCAGCAGCCGCGGUAAUACGUAGGUGGCAAGCGUUGUCCGGAAUUAUUGGGCGUAAAGCGCGCGCAGGCGGUCCUUUAAGUCUGAUGUGAAAGCCCACGGCUCAACCGUGGAGGGUCAUUGGAAACUGGGGGACUUGAGUGCAGAAGAGAAGAGUGGAAUUCCACGUGUAGCGGUGAAAUGCGUAGAGAUGUGGAGGAACACCAGUGGCGAAGGCGACUCUUUGGUCUGUAACUGACGCUGAGGCGCGAAAGCGUGGGGAGCAAACAGGAUUAGAUACCCUGGUAGUCCACGCCGUAAACCAUGAGUGCUAAG